GAUGAACGCUAGCUACAGGCUUAACACAUGCAAGUCGAGGGGCAGCACAAGGCAGCAAUGCUGAGGUGGCGACCGGCGCACGGGUGCGUAACGCGUAUCCAACCUUCCCGUUACUCUUGGAUAGCCUUCCGAAAGGGAGAUUAAUACAAGAUGGUGUUGAAAUUCCGCAUGUUAUUUCAACUAAAGAUUUAUCGGUAACGGAUGGGGAUGCGUGACAUUAGAUAGUAGGCGGGGUAACGGCCCACCUAGUCUACGAUGUCUAGGGGUUCUGAGAGGAAGGUCCCCCACACUGGAACUGAGACACGGUCCAGACUCCUACGGGAGGCAGCAGUGAGGAAUAUUGGUCAAUGGCCGGAAGGCUGAACCAGCCAAGUAGCGUGAAGGAUGAAGGUUCUAUGGAUUGUAAACUUCUUUUAUGAGGGAAUAAAACCUCCACGUGUGGGAGCUUGUAUGUACCUUAUGAAUAAGCAUCGGCUAACUCCGUGCCAGCAGCCGC
rnacentral:rRNA from 1 species